CGAGCGAAGCGGGAAGAGCUCAAAUUUAUAAUCUGGCACCUUCGGUGUCCGAGUUGUAAUCUCUAGAAAUGUUUUCCGCGUUGGACCGCACACAAGUCUGUUGGAAUACAGCGGCAUAGUGGUGAGACCCCCGUAUAUGGUGCGGACGCCCAGCGCUUUGUGAUACAUUUUCGAAGAGUCGAGUUGUUUGGGAAUGCAGCUCAAAUUGGGUGGUAAAUUCCAUCUAAAGCUAAAUAUUGGCGAGAGACCGAUAGCGAACAAGUACCGUGAGGGAAAGAUGAAAAGCACUUUGGAAAGAGAGUUAACAGUACGUGAAAUUGUUGGAAGGGAAACGCUUGAAGUCAGACUUGCUUGCCGAGCAAUCGGUUUGCAGGCCAGCAUCAGUUUUCCGGGAUGGAUAAUGGUAAAGAGAAGGUAGCAGUUUCGGCUGUGUUAUAGCUCUCUACUGGAUACAUCCUGGGGGACUGAGGAACGCAGUGUGCCUUUGGCGGGGGUUUCGACCUCUUCACACUUAGGAUGCUGGU
rnacentral:rRNA from 1 species